rnacentral:misc_RNA from 1 species
GUGCACUAUUGACUUCGGAGAUUCAACAAUUCUCAUACCAUCACUAUAAGCCAAGUACUUGUUGACUUGUAUUGGCACCUUGCUUCUCACAGCAAUGUUGAUUGCAUCAGACGGACGAAGAUCAAAGCUAAUACUCUCGGCAUCAUUGUCGGACUUUGUUAAAUAUAACUGAGCAUAAUAAGCCUCGUGCACCCUCUUUGUAACUCGAACAAGUUUAACCGUGUAACCCAUCUUCUCAACCAUGUCAUUCACAACUUGAUACAUUGUUGGUCGGGCAAUUUGGACAUUACGCACAGCUGCCAUGAGCAAUGCACUUGGCAUCUCCAAAACAAUAAUAGGGAGAAGAAGCCCUGUCCCGUCUUCCAUUCUUAAUACAAUCGCUGGAUGUGGAGCAUAAUCCGGUAGAUGACCUCCUUGUGGAUUAUUAUGCACACAUUUCAAAUGCCUUCCAUCUCUCAUUUUGAUCAUGAAACCAUCUGGCCCACUUCGCACUUCAACAGCUUCGACCACGCUAGAGUUCACAUAAUCUGCGUUACUUUCAUUGGAAUUCUCUGCCGUGCUACCAUUUCCAUCUGAUGAUGAACUAAAAGUGCAUUGUAUCACUUUGCUUACUCGUGAUAGUGGUUGACGAGCCACAUUAACCCGGAAGCUAGAGAUCCCAUUAAUCCCCCAGAACCUACUCUUCAAAAUCUUCGCCUUCACUACAGAAGAAUUGACAGGAACAGCAAACUGACUUGUUUGCUUUCCACGAACAACAGGACAAAUAACAGGCCCUUGCAGAGAGCUCAUUCUGCCUACUCAGGAAUCUGGAUCACCGAUCGUAAGCCUUCAACUUUACUGAUAAAUUAUUAUAUUAUCAGAAAGGAAAUAAGAGAAAAGCAAAAUAGAUAUUUUUUUUUUUAGUUGGAGAAAGAGAAAUUUCGAGGCGACAAAGAGGUAUGGAUAAAGGAGAAGAGAAAUAGUGUGAGAAAAGAGAUAA